ensembl:rRNA 5S_rRNA 5S ribosomal RNA
GUUUGCAGUCAUACCAACCUGAAUGUGCCCAUCUCAUCUGAUCUCAGAAGCUAACCAGGGUCAGGCCUGGUUAGUACUGGAUGGGAGACCACCUAGGAUUACCUGGUACUAUCGGCC